CGUCCUGGGGGGGGGAGAGGGGUUUGCAGACCAUUUCGAAAACUCGCGAAAUGUUGGUUUCAUUCGAUUCGGGUCGAUCUUCCCUUUUGGCAAAGGCGAUGCGCGCUUUUAAAGGAUCCACGCACCAGGAGAAGCAGUUUAAAUGAAGACGGGGAGAACGCGCUACCCCCCC